GCUCGGUUGAUCUAGUUGGUUAUGAUGCGGACCUAAUAAGUCCGAUGUCGGCGGUUCGAUCCCGCCACUGAGCA
rnacentral:tRNA from 3 species